rnacentral:rRNA from 1 species
AGCUCCAAUAGCGUAUAUUACAUUUGUUGCGGUUAAAAAGCUCGUAGUUUAAUUUCUGCUGAGGACGACCGGUCCGCCCUCUGGGUGAGUAUCUGGCUCGGCCUUGGCAUCUUCUUGGAAAACGUAACUGCACUUGACUGUGUGAUACGGUAUCCAGGACUUUUGUUUUGGCGGAAAUUAGAGUGUUUCAAGCAGGCGCACGCCUUGAAUACAUUAGCAUGGAAUAAUAAGAUAGGACCUUGGUUCUAUUUUGUUGGUUUCUAAAGCAAAGGUAAUGAUUAAUAGGGAUAGUUGGGGCAUUCGUAUUUAACUGUCAGAGGUGAAAUUCUUGGAUUUGUUAAAGACGGAUUACUGCGAAAGCAUUCGCCAAGGAUGUUUUCA